rnacentral:misc_RNA from 1 species
GAAAUGCGAUAAGUAGUGUGAAUUGCAGAAUUCAGUGAAUCAUCGAAUCUUUGAACGCACAUUGCGCCCCUGGUAUUCCGGGGGGCAUGCCUGUCCGAGCGUCAUUGCUGCCCUCAAGCCCGGCUUGUGUGUUGGGCCCUCGUCCCCCGGCUCCCGGGGGACGGGCCCGAAAGGCAGCGGCGGCACCGCGUCCGGUCCUCGAGCGUAUGGGGCUUCGUCUUCCGCUCCGUAGGCCCGGCCGGCGCCCGCCGACGCAUUUAUUUGCAACUUGUUUUUUUCCAGGUUGACCUCGGAUCAGGUAGGGAUACCCGCUGAACUUAAGC